rnacentral:lncRNA from 1 species
GCUCGCAGGUGUUCGCUGGCGCCCGGAUGUCUGAGCUCUGGCUCCGCUCUGGCUCCGGCUCCCUCCGCAGCCUGCGGGCGGGGCUCGCAGCCCAUCCGGAGCCUCGCGGCGCCCCCGCCGCUCCGCCAGCAGCGCGGCCUCCCGGUUCCCAGCCUCGCGGCCUGGGGGGCCCCCCACCCAGCGGAGUCGCUGACCCCACUCCUCUCCCGCUGCCCCCAGCUGCGCUCGGGCCGCUGCAGCCUCUGCGCACCCCCACCCGCUUCCUGCCCCGUCCGCGAGGCCGCCCUGGAUCGCACCCGGUUCCUUCCUUCCUUCGUUCUUUCAGGCAACUCGCAUUCCUCGAGCGCCUGCGACGUGCCCUGCACAGGGCCUUCCCGGCCUUCCGAGUGUGGCCCCAGGCCCGCUGGGCUCCUCCGGGAAGCCUCUGCCCUCUCGAAGUCCUUCCCCACCUCCGCCCCUCUGUUCCAUGAGCUGUUUUGAAACUUCAUGCAAACCGGUGGGUGCUGCAGAAUUGGCCUCUUCCAGCCACAGCAGUAAUCCUGUUACGUUCUCUCUGUGAGUCUGGGAAACAUACAGACACUGGUUGAAACUUCAGCUUUGUCAUUUACCAGCUGUGCUAUCACAGGCUGGUCUGAAACUCCUGGGCUCAAGCAGUUCUCCCACAUUGGCUUCCCAAAGUGCUGGGAUUACAGGUCUGAACCACCGAACCGGGCCACAGAGUGGCAAUGUGGUUGGCAUGACCCAGUCACAGCACCCCGGGACUCUUGUCCAGCAUUGGCGCUCUAUAUGCAGAGCCCUUUCACUCAGCCUGGCAGCAUCUGAUCAGCGUCGAAGCCCAGUGGCUUGAGGAAUAAAUAUAAACAGUGCAGAGACUAAAAGCAGAGCUCUGGUCCAGCACAUCUACUCCCAAGCUCUGCCACCCUGGACAAGCUCCUUCCCCUCUCUGAGCCUCAGUCUCCUCCCUGUAAUACUGUAAGAACCCUGUCCACAGUUGUGUGCCGAUAUACUGAAUGUAAAGCACCUAAAAGCCUGCCAGGACGUGGCAGGCACUCAAGAAGCAUUACUAGAUUCAUUUCACACAUGGAGAAACUGAGUCCCAGAGUGGGAAAGUGACUCAGGCAAAGAUUCCCUCACAGAACUGGGGAUAAAAAUCCAGAUCUUCAAGCUCCCAGUCAGUGCCUAAUUACUACUUUCUCAUUCUUGGAAUUUGUAAUUAUUUCAUGACAAGUGUGCUUUUGGCUGCUGGAGGGACAGAGCUUCAGAGGUUGUGAGCCUCCCCUGGCUCAGCCUGACCCAGAACCAGCUCACUCAUGAAACUACCCUCUCUUGAAGAGAAUAGGAGUUGUGGGGAGGAAGAACAUAACCCAGAGGCCAGAGAACGUGGAGGCCAGGGUUGGUGUAACUGUGUAGGCUCUUCCACAUACUAGCUGUGUGAACUUGGACAAGUGACUUAACUUCUCUUCUCCGUGUCUGCUAACAGUCCCUACACAGAUGGUUGUUGUGAGGCUUAGUUACCAUACAAAAUUCUUAGAUUAGUGCCUGGCACAUAAUAAUAACCACAGCCCCCAAAUGCUAGUUGUCAUUCAUUAUCUUAACAUACCAUGUGAAGGUUGUGUUCUCUUACAUUCUAUAGCCCUCUGUGUUUUAAUAUAAAAUUGUGAUGUCUCUCUUUCUUUUAUUUGUAUUUUUUGAGUAAAACGGACAUUUCAGAAAGAUGUACCAGAUUUUUAUCACAUGGCUUUGUGAGACCCGACAGCCAGCCAACAUCACACACAGUCACAUGUGUGCAUGCAUGAGCACACAUGCAUGCAGACACACACACUUUGAGAAGGCCAUGCUACGCCGGGCUGCUUCCCAAAUGGGCUGAAACAAGUCCUCUUGCCCUGAAGAACCGCCUGUCCCCUCUCCCGCCCACUCAUCGCGCUCCGUGGAGUGAGGCAGGAAAGGGUGAUUGGCUCACAGCAGCAGCAUAGCUCUUAGUAAACCUGACUUGGGAGAAAGGCCUGGCUCCAGCUCCUAGCCCAAGUGUCAGAGCCUGGGUCCCAGCACUGGCUCGAUGCCCUCUUUUGCUGUGCAACCCUGGCCAUGUAACUUCACCUCUCUGAGCCCCAGCUUUGUCAUUUGUGAAAGGGAGCUAACUGUUCCUACCUCUCAGGGUUAUGAGGAUUUGACAGACACAUGGAAAGUGCCUGGCACUUCGUUGUUGCUCCAUAAAUGAGAGCUCUCAAAAGUCUGGCUCAUUUUUUAGCUCAGUAAAAGCUAUCUUUCAUAGUCUUUAAUAAAAUGGGGCUGGCCGGGCGUGGUGGCUCACGCCUGUAAUCCCAGCACUUUGGGAGGCUGAGGUGGGUGGAUCACGAGGU